UACAGAGGGUGCAAGCGUUACUCGGAAUUACUGGGCGUAAAGCGUGCGUAGUCGGCUUUUUAAGUCGGGUGUGAAAUCCCCGGGCUCAACCUGGGAAUUGCAUUCGAUACUGGAUGGCUAGAGUUCGGCAGAGGGAAGUGGAAUUUCUGGUGUAGCGGUGAAAUGCGUAGAUAUCAGAAGGAACAUCAGUGGCGAAAGCGACUUCCUGGACCAGAACUGACGAUCAGGCACGAAAGCGUGGGGAGCAAACAGG
rnacentral:rRNA from 1 species